CUCCUCUUUGCCCAGGAUGGUGUUUCCUGAGGAACUCUUCCCAGAUGUUCUGGAUCCCAGCAACACAAUCCUCAACUCUGAGAGAUGGAGGGAGUCAUCUGGUUGAAAAGGGUGGGACAAACAGAGAGCAGAAGAGACGUGGUGGGAGUCAUGACACAUGAAGAGAGACAUGGAGGGAGACAUGACACAUGAAGAGAGACGUGGAGGGAGACAUGACACAUGAAGAGAGACGUGGAGGGAGACAUGACACAUGAAGAGAGACGUGGAGGGAGACAUGACACAUGAAGAGAAACGUGGAGGGAGACAUGACACAUGAAGAGAGACAUGGAGGGAGACAUGACACACGAAGAGAGACGUGGAGGGAGUCAUGACACAUGGAGGGAGACAUGACACAUGAAGAGAGACGUGGAGGGAGACAUGACACAUGAAGAGAGACAUGGAGGGAGUCAUGACACAUGAGGAGAGACAUGGAGGGAGUCAUGACACAUGAAGAGAGACAUGGAGGGAGACAUGACACACGAAGAGAGACAUGGAGGGAGUCAUGACACAUGAAGAGAGACGUGGAGGGAGACAUGACACAUGAAGAGAGACGUGGAGGGAGACAUGACACAUGAAGAGAGACGUGAAUGGAGACAUGACACACGAAGAGAGACGUGGAGGGAGUCAUGACACACGAAGAGAGACGUGGAGGGAGACAUGACACACGAAGAGAGACGUGGAGGGAGUCAUGACACAUGAAGAGAGACGUGGAGGGAGUCAUGACACAUGAAGGGACAAAGAGAGAGAAACAGUGAUCAUUAUUAUACAGUAUACUUGGGCAAAACAACCACAGACUGGAAAGUUUUUAAGUUUCUUCAACUAAUUAUUUUUCAUGUACUAGUUCCAUUGUUUUUUAUGUUUCCUCAAAUUUGAGGUCCAAUUAUUACCAGAAAUACACAUUUUCAGUUGGCCCCGAAAUUAUGUAUGGCUCAACUUCUCUUAUUUCAACUAUAAAUAAUUAUUUGGGUUCUAAAGAUAAAGCUGUGGAAUUAGCCAGAAAUGUUUUUAUUUAAUCAGAAAACAACAGUACUUGGCCUCCAACCCAACAACACUGCUUAGCUCAGAGGCUAACCAGCAAUGGAAGCAGUUGCAAAGCUGUAGCCAAAGUGUUUGUGAUUUGCAACAUGCCAAAGCCUCUUGCCGCAUCUUUGAUUUACA
ensembl:lncRNA